CCGCACAAGCGGUGGAGCAUGUGGUUUAAUUCGAUGCAACGCGAAGAACCUUACCUACUCUUGACAUCCAGAGAACUUUCCAGAGAUGGAUUGGUGCCUUCGGGAACUCUGAGACAGGUGCUGCAUGGCUGUCGUCAGCUCGUGUUGUGAAAUGUUGGGUUAAGUCCCGCAACGAGCGCAACCCUUAUCCUUUGUUGCCAGCGGUCCGGCCGGGAACUCAAAGGAGACUGCCAGUGAUAAACUGGAGGAAGGUGGGGAUGACGUCAAGUCAUCAUGGCCCUUACGAGUAGGGCUACACACGUGCUACAAUGGCGCAUACAAAGAGAAGCGACCUCGCGAGAGCAAGCGGACCUCAUAAAGUGCGUCGUAGUCCGGAUUGGAGUCUGCAACUCGACUCCAUGAAGUCGGAAUCGCUAGUAAUCGUAGAUCAGAAUGCUACGGUGAAUACGUUCCCGGGCCUUGUACACACCGCCCGUCACACCAUGGGAGUGGGUUGCAAAAGAAGUAGGUAGCUUAACC
rnacentral:rRNA from 1 species